GAUGAACGCUAGCGGCAGGCUUAACACAUGCAAGUCGAGGGGCAGCAUGAUCGAACUUUCGGGUUUGAUUGAUGGCGACCGGCGCAAGGGUGCGUAACGCGUGAGCAACUUGCCCUCAUCAGGGGAAUAACCGUUGGAAACGACGACUAAUACCCCAUAGCACAUAUUUAAGGCAUCUUUUAUAUGUUAAAGAAUUUCGGAUGAGGAUAGGCUCGCGUGACAUUAGCUAGAUGGCGGGGUAACGGCCCACCAUGGCGACGAUGUCUAGGGGUUCUGAGAGGAAGGUCCCCCCANACUGGAACUGAGACACGGUCCAGACUCCUACGGGAGGCAGCAGUGAGGAAUAUUUGGGUCCAAAUGGUCUGACGACUGAACCAGCCAUGCCGCGUGAAGGUCACGGCCCUAUGGGUCUUAAAUCUUUGUAAGGGGAGCGAAUAAGUCUCACGUGUGGGAUGAUGAGAGUACCUUACGAA
rnacentral:rRNA from 1 species